AUUAAGCGGAGGAAAAGAAAAUAACUAUGAUUCCCUCAGUAAGGGCGACUGAAGCGGGAAAAGCUCAUUCUGUGAAUCUGUAUACUAUUUUGGUAUACCGAGUUGUAGACUACAAAAAAACAUCAGUGCGAGUUCUGGUCUAAGUCUCUUGGAAAAGAGCAGCUUAGAGGGUGACACUCCCGUUCUUGGCUGGAACUCAAACUUUAGUAUGUUUUAUUUAAGAGUCAAGUUGCUUGGGAUUGCAGCUUAAAGUUGGUGGUAAAUUCCAUCUAAAGCUAAAUAUCGGUGGGAGACCGAUAGCGUACAAGUACCGUGAGGGAAAGAUGCAAAGAACUUUGAAAAAAGAGUUAAAGAGUACCUGAAAUUGCUGAAAUGGAAGCAAAGGAAACCAGUGCCGUUCUGUACCAUUCUUCUGUUCUUGCUUGCGAGAAUAGCGCUGUGGUUCAGUACAAGCCAGCGUGGGUUCGAUUCGGAGGAAGCAGCUUUGCAGGAGGCAGCAUAAUUUCUAUGCGAUUACUGUUUAGUUUUGCUCCGGAUUGGACUGAGGCUAGUCACUUG
rnacentral:rRNA from 1 species